rnacentral:rRNA from 1 species
AACGAACGCUGGCGGCAGGCUUAACACAUGCAAGUCGAGCGAGACCUUCGGGUCUAGCGGCGGACGGGUGAGUAACGCGUGGGAACGUGCCCUUCUCUACGGAAUAGCCCCGGGAAACUGGGAGUAAUACCGUAUACGCCCUUUGGGGGAAAGAUUUAUCGGAGAAGGAUAGGCCCGCGUUGGAUUAGGUAGUUGGUGGGGUAAUGGCCCACCAAGCCGACGAUCCAUAGCUGGUUUGAGAGGAUAAUCAGCCACACUGGGACUGAGACACGGCCCAGACUCCUACGGGAGGCAGCAGUGGGGAAUCUUAGACAAUGGGGGCAACCUUGAUCUAGCCAUGCCGCGUGAGUGAUGAAGGCCUUAGGGUUGUAAAGCUCUUUCAGCUGGGAAGAUAAUGACGGUACCAGCAGAAGAAGCCCCGGCUAACUCCGUGCCAGCCGCCGCCGUAA